ensembl:lncRNA
CCCCCGGCCGCCCCGGCCCCCCGCCAGUUCUUUUGCAGGUACCACCACUGCAGGAGCAGGUGCUCCCCGUGCCCUGCACCCUGCCCGCCACCUGGGAGUCGCCGAUGGAGCCCUUUCAGGACGCCGUGGUGCUCACGCAGGACCAGGGGCACCCAGCGCCCACCGACGGGUGCCCCCAUCCCGCCACGGCUCCGCUCGGCUGCAGCACCGCAGCGCUGGACUCAGGGGCCACAGCGAGCGCAGACAUCCCGGAGGACGUGGCGGACAUCCAGCAUCUCCUGGCAUGGCUCAACGACGGUGAGUUUGGGGGCAGCAGAGCUGGCGGGGGGUUGCUGCCACCCACCCAGCCACCCACGCACCCCCACUGGGUGUGGGAAAGAAAGCUGGCAUUGCCCCACUGGGCAUUUUCUGCCUUUUCCAGAAGUGACAUCCAAGACAGGCAUCCUGGACGACGACGCAGACAUCGAUGACCUGCUCACGUGGAUCAACAACGGUGAGUCUCUCUCGGAGGGGCAGCAGAGCUGCUGGGGGGGUGUCUGCACUGAGUGGGCGUGGGAAAGCCGGCAUUGCCAUUGCCCCGCUGGGCAUUUUCUGCCUUUUCCAGAAGAGACACCCAGCACCCACAGACUUGACAACGAUGAUGUGGAAAUGGACCGUUUGCUCACCUGGAUUGACGAAGCGGCUCUGGAGAGUGCUCUGGAGGUCCCCCAGCACAAGCAGGACCUGCCCGGUGUCACAAGAGAGGGGACCAAAGCCACUGCAAACAGCUGCCAAACGCAAGAGCUGAUGCAGCGCAUCACUGCCACGGAGCCACUGAGCCCUGAUGUCUCCAGCAGCCUCGACUCCUCUUCUUCCAGCACAGAGCACUCGGACUCCUCCGGGGCCAGCAGGGAGCUGAGCAAAGAGACACAUCCUGAAUCAGGGCUCCUCAGCAACUCGCUCUGCUGGCAGCCAGCAUCCCCUGAGCUGCCCGUGCCGACGCCCCUGGCUGCCCCUGCGCCUCCGUCGCCCCGCACUGCACAUCUGAUGGAAGAGGCGCGGCGGAGGCAGCC